CUGAGUUACAACUCCCUAACCCCUUGUGAACUAUUACACUGUUGCUUCGGCGGAUCAGCCGCUCCGGUAAACGGGACGGCCCGCCAGAGGACUCAUCAAAUCUCUGUUUCUACCUACGAUAACUUCUGAGUGUUAAACCAUAAACUUC
rnacentral:misc_RNA from 1 species